AGCGCGCCCGCCGCAGCCCGGGGUCAGGCUCCAGCCGGGCUCCUCGGAAUUCGCCUCCGCUGCCACCCGCCAGGCCCGAGAGCGCUUGCAGCCGUGUUCCGACUUGCUCGAGUUUCCUCCCUCGCCAGGACGUUUCCCAAGAGAGCUCCAAGGGCAAGCCCUUCCCUGGAUAUGGUAACAAGAGACACCGGUUACUAUAGAAAGACACCUUGGAAAAGUAGAUUCCAACAGGCAGUCGCUGCUUCGAUCCUGGUGCCCAGAUGGAGAAGGACCACUAGAAACACAAAGGAAGGAAAUCAUGAUAAAUAAUCACUUCCCAGACUACAGCCCAAACUCCUGGGAAGAGUUUGUGUCUUAACAUCUGGCCCUGAGCUGCAGACCACAGAUCUCAGUUUUACGUUGGAGGCAGAAUGGGCUUCUUUUAACCAUUCUGUUGAAAAAGAGCCACAAAGGGACAUCCUGCGUGUCAUCUUCCUGGACUAUUCUCCACGAGGGGAGCCGGGAAUUGGUACUAGGCACCAACAACACCAGGCGCCUCUGACAGUCUCAGGGCCUCCCGGCCAUUCUCAGUCCCCCUCCUCACUCUUGCCCUUGAUGGAGCUGACUGAACACGUGGAAAAUUACCCACGAAAAUCUGUGCAAGAAAGUUGCACGGAAAGUUACAGAAUGUCACAACAGAAAACUGCUGCUUAGCAGGGCAGAGGAACAGAGCACAAUCUUUGCAGGGUCAAGCCACCAAACCGGCCCCCCACUCCUCAUCUUCACCUUUACCUUUCCACCUCUGCUCACCCACCCUUUGUAACUGCCUGGCAUCAUGUCAUGUGUGGGCCUAGGAUGAGGAAGGGAAGUACACGUUCAAGAGACAUGCUUAGAGGUGCCUGUCUCUGGGAACUGUCCCUGCUCCUAGUCCCUUUAGUUUAGCUGGUCACUCAUUGAUUGCACAGAUUGAUUUUUUGAGCACUUACUAUAUUCCAAGAGUGUGGCAAGUGCAGAUACAAAAAAUUCAAGGGCCCUUCCUUACAGAGUUAAUUUUUUAGUGCAGAGAGUUAGAUGACUUUGUAAGUAAAGAAAGAAAGAAGAUAAUUUUGGGUAAUAAUGCUUGCUAUGGGCUUUUAAAACACAAACAAAACAAAGCAAUGUCCUAGAGAGUGAUUUGGGAGAAGGGCUGCCUACUCUAGCUAAAAUAGACUAGGAAAACCUCUCUGAAGAGUUAAAUAUAAGCUUGCGUGUGAAUAAGGAAGACUUGUGGCUACAAUAAACAUUGUGGGCAGGAGGAAGAACAGGGGGAUAGGUUCCAGGGUAGAAAAGGAGAACAAUAGAAAUGCCAGUAUGACUGAAGCCUGUAUAACAAGGGAGGGUGGAAAAGGCAGUUUGCAGAACAGAGGCCUUGGUAAGAAGCUUGAGUUUUAUUUUAAAGGCAACAGGAGUACUCGGUGUUACAUGCAAACAA